rnacentral:rRNA from 1 species
GGGUUGUGAGGUUAAGCGACUAAGCGUACACGGUGGAUGCCCUGGCAGUCAGAGGCGAUGAAGGACGUGCUAAUCUGCGAUAAGCGUCGGUAAGGUGAUAUGAACCGUUAUAACCGGCGAUUUCCGAAUGGGGAAACCCAGUGUGAUUCGUCACACUAUCAUUAACUGAAUCCAUAGGUUAAUGAGGCGAACCGGGGGAACUGAAACAUCUAAGUACCCCGAGGAAAAGAAAUCAACCGAGAUUCCCCCAGUAGCGGCGAGCGAACGGGGAGCAGCCCAGAGCCUGAAUCAGUGUGUGUGUUAGUGGAAGCGUCUGGAAAGGCGCGCGAUACAGGGUGACAGCCCCGUACACAAAAAUGCACAUACUGUGAGCUCGAUGAGUAGGGCGGGACACGUGGUAUCCUGUCUGAAUAUGGGGGGACCAUCCUCCAAGGCUAAAUACUCCUGACUGACCGAUAGUGAACCAGUACCGUGAGGGAAAGGCGAAAAGAACCCCGGCGAGGGGAGUGAAAAAGAACCUGAAACCGUGUACGUACAAGCAGUGGGAGCACGCUUAGGCGUGUGACUGCGUACCUUUUGUAUAAUGGGUCAGCGACUUAUAUUCUGUAGCAAGGUUAACCGAAUAGGGGAGCCGAAGGGAAACCGAGUCUUAACUGGGCGUUAAGUUGCAGGGUAUAGACCCGAAACCCGGUGAUCUAGCCAUGGGCAGGUUGAAGGUUGGGUAACACUAACUGGAGGACCGAACCGACUAAUGUUGAAAAAUUAGCGGAUGACUUGUGGCUGGGGGUGAAAGGCCAAUCAAACCGGGAGAUAGCUGGUUCUCCCCGAAAGCUAUUUAGGUAGCGCCUCGUGAAUUCAUCUCCGGGGGUAGAGCACUGUUUCGGCAAGGGGGUCAUCCCGACUUACCAACCCGAUGCAAACUGCGAAUACCGGAGAAUGUUAUCACGGGAGACACACGGCGGGUGCUAACGUCCGUCGUGAAGAGGGAAACAACCCAGACCGCCAGCUAAGGUCCCAAAGUCAUGGUUAAGUGGGAAACGAUGUGGGAAGGCCCAGACAGCCAGGAUGUUGGCUUAGAAGCAGCCAUCAUUUAAAGAAAGCGUAAUAGCUCACUGGUCGAGUCGGCCUGCGCGGAAGAUGUAACGGGGCUAAACCAUGCACCGAAGCUGCGGCAGCGACGCUGAUGCGUUGUUGGGUAGGGGAGCAUUCUGUAAGCCUGCGAAGGUGUGCUGUGAGGCAUGCUGGAGGUAUCAGAAGUGCGAAUGCUGACAUAAGUAACGAUAAAGCGGGUGAAAAGCCCGCUCGCCGGAAGACCAAGGGUUCCUGUCCAACGUUAAUCGGGGCAGGGUGAGUCGACCCCUAAGGCGAGGCCGAAAGGCGUAGUCGAUGGGAAACAGGUUAAUAUUCCUGUACUUGGUGUUACUGCGAAGGGGGGACGGAGAAGGCUAUGUUGGCCGGGCGACGGUUGUCCCGGUUUAAGCGUGUAGGCUGGUUUUCCAGGCAAAUCCGGAAAAUCAAGGCUGAGGCGUGAUGACGAGGCACUACGGUGCUGAAGCAACAAAUGCCCUGCUUCCAGGAAAAGCCUCUAAGCAUCAGGUAACAUCAAAUCGUACCCCAAACCGACACAGGUGGUCAGGUAGAGAAUACCAAGGCGCUUGAGAGAACUCGGGUGAAGGAACUAGGCAAAAUGGUGCCGUAACUUCGGGAGAAGGCACGCUGAUAUGUAGGUGAGGUCCCUCGCGGAUGGAGCUGAAAUCAGUCGAAGAUACCAGCUGGCUGCAACUGUUUAUUAAAAACACAGCACUGUGCAAACACGAAAGUGGACGUAUACGGUGUGACGCCUGCCCGGUGCCGGAAGGUUAAUUGAUGGGGUCAGCGCAAGCGAAGCUCUUGAUCGAAGCCCCGGUAAACGGCGGCCGUAACUAUAACGGUCCUAAGGUAGCGAAAUUCCUUGUCGGGUAAGUUCCGACCUGCACGAAUGGCGUAAUGAUGGCCAGGCUGUCUCCACCCGAGACUCAGUGAAAUUGAACUCGCUGUGAAGAUGCAGUGUACCCGCGGCAAGACGGAAAGACCCCGUGAACCUUUACUAUAGCUUGACACUGAACAUUGAGCCUUGAUGUGUAGGAUAGGUGGGAGGCUUGGAAGUGUGGACGCCAGUCUGCAUGGAGCCGACCUUGAAAUACCACCCUUUAAUGUUUGAUGUUCUAACGUUGACCCGUAAUCCGGGUUGCGGACAGUGUCUGGUGGGUAGUUUGACUGGGGCGGUCUCCUCCUAAAGAGUAACGGAGGAGCACGAAGGUUGGCUAAUCCUGGUCGGACAUCAGGAGGUUAGUGCAAUGGCAUAAGCCAGCUUGACUGCGAGCGUGACGGCGCGAGCAGGUGCGAAAGCAGGUCAUAGUGAUCCGGUGGUUCUGAAUGGAAGGGCCAUCGCUCAACGGAUAAAAGGUACUCCGGGGAUAACAGGCUGAUACCGCCCAAGAGUUCAUAUCGACGGCGGUGUUUGGCACCUCGAUGUCGGCUCAUCACAUCCUGGGGCUGAAGUAGGUCCCAAGGGUAUGGCUGUUCGCCAUUUAAAGUGGUACGCGAGCUGGGUUUAGAACGUCGUGAGACAGUUCGGUCCCUAUCUGCCGUGGGCGCUGGAGAACUGAGGGGGGCUGCUCCUAGUACGAGAGGACCGGAGUGGACGCAUCACUGGUGUUCGGGUUGUCAUGCCAAUGGCACUGCCCGGUAGCUAAAUGCGGAAGAGAUAAGUGCUGAAAGCAUCUAAGCACGAAACUUGCCCCGAGAUGAGUUCUCCCUGACCCUUUAAGGGUCCUGAAGGAACGUUGAAGACGACGACGUUGAUAGGCCGGGUGUGUAAGCGCAGCGAUGCGUUGAGCUAACCGGUACUAAUGAACCGUGAGGCUUAACCUUACAACGCCGAAG